rnacentral:rRNA from 1 species
ACAGCGAGGACGCUGUGAACGAGGGGAUUAUUCCUCCCCUUGUUCCGCUCUUCUGUGUUGUGCACCGGCUGUGUUAAUUCACUGGCCGAGUAAACAUUCACGGAGAGUUUGAUCCUGGCUCAGGACGAACGCUGGCGGCGUGCUUAACACAUGCAAGUCGAACGAUG